AACGUAGGAGACAAACGUUAUCCGGAGUUACUGGGCGUAAAGGGCGUGUAGGCGGUUAGUUAAGUCUGGCGUGAAAGCUCUCGGCUAAACCGGGAGAGGUCGUUGGAUACUGGCUGACUAGAGGACGGUAGAGGCGUGUGGAAUUCCGGGUGUGGUGGUGAAAUGCGUAGAGAUCCGGAGGAACACCAGUGGCGAAGGCGACACGCUGGGCCGUACCUGACGCUAAAGCGCGACAGCAUGGGGAGCAAACGGG
rnacentral:rRNA from 1 species